rnacentral:rRNA from 1 species
GAGUUUGAUCCUGGCUCAGAUUGAACGCUGGCGGCAGGCCUAACACAUGCAAGUCGAGCGGAUGAAGGGAGCUUGCUCCUGGAUUCAGCGGCGGACGGGUGAGUAAUGCCUAGGAAUCUGCCUGGUAGUGGGGAUAACGUCCGGAAACGGGCGCUAAUACCGCAUACGUCCUGAGGGAGAAAGUGGGGGAUCUUCGGACCUCACGCUAUCAGACGAGCCUAGGUCGGAUUAGCUAGUUGGUGGGGUAAAGGCCUACCAAGGCGACGAUCCGUAACUGGUCUGAGAGGAUGAUCAGUCACACUGGAACUGAGUCACGGUCCAGACUCCUACGGGAGGCAGCAGUGGGGAAUAUUGGACAAUGGGCGAAAGCCUGAUCCAGCCAUGCCGCGUGUGUGAAGAAGGUCUUCGGAUUGUAAAGCACUUUAAGUUGGGAGGAAGGGCAGUAAGUUAAUACCUUGCUGUUUUGACGUUACCAACAGAAUAAGCACCGGCUAACUUCGUGCCAGCAGCCGCGGU